AUGGCGGGCCUUCACCCAGGUGGAGAUUGGAUGGGACGGGGUGCGCGCGCCCUCGACAAUCCUCGUACCUUCACGGGCGAGGAUUCCCUCGAAAACCUUGCUAGACUAAGGGAUGGAGUUGUGAGCAGGGACGCCACAACAAUCACAACUUUAAAGCAACGUAUGCUUUGGCGCCGAUCCGGUGGCGACACCGAAUCCCACGCAUAA